UGGAUGGCCAUCUGUCAGGGGUGAUUUGAUUGUGCUUUUCCUCCAUGGCAAGGGUUGGACUAGAUGUUCCAUGUAGUCUCUUCCAACUCUGUGAUUCUGUUUUCCUUCUCCUUUGUCUUCAUUCAGUGUAAACCCCAAUCUAUAAUUAUUCCAAGAUCUGGGUGAUGGGAUUCUUUUGCAUUCCUUCUGUCUUUGCUCCUUCCCAGGCCAGCUCGGCAUCCUCAGAUUCAGGCGAGGAAGGCAAGGACGAGCCCAUACAAACCGACCAGGGUUCCUCAGGGCUGGACCAGGUUUCCCCAAAGUCAGUCCAUGCUGAGCAACAGGGCCUCCAAGUGAAAGGCUUUUUCUAUGGCUGUACUCCAGCGCAGUUUCGGUGCCACGCGGUGCCCCACAUCAUCGGCCCCACCUCCCAAUGCGCAGACAUGGAGAGCAUCAACUCAGGUGAGGAAGGUGUUUUCUCUCCAACCCCUUUGACUUCUGGUUUCUCUUCUGCCCACUCCAUUUAAGAGACUUGUGGUCCAAAGAAAGUAGUUCUUCCAAGCUUUGGGUCUGUUG
rnacentral:lncRNA from 11 species